UGCGUUGGCUGAUUAAAUGCAUAGAGUUUAAUUUAUAAUAUUAUUUGCUUUGGAUAUGCUGUGAUAAACUACUGCGAAUUACGUUUUUGAGCCAUGUUAAACAUAUUUUUUUAUGUUUGCUAAGUUUAAAUUGAAAACGCUAUUGAUUUAUAACAGUACGAAACAAUAAUUCAAAAUUUAUCAUGAUUUUGUUUUGCGUUUCGUCGAAAUAGCUUAAGUUUUAUUUGGCAGAAAGACACAAAUCAUUAUAACGACAAUACCCGAGACCUAUGGCGCUUAAAAUACACAUAAAAUGGCAUACAAAUUCCA